AUGCUUCUAACAAUGCCUUCACUUCAUUCUCAGCCAAGGGCCUUUGAUCUCCCAAGUCCUUCUGGAGGAAACGGAGAUAAUGGCCAAUUCUUCCCAUUACCGGGAUGUGUGGUAUGUUUCCAAUUUCACAUAUAUUGGGGAAAAAAACUGGAAGGAAAUAUACCAAUAUAUUAACAAUUGUUAUCAAUGGAUCUGGAUGUAAAAAUGGUUACUUUUCUUUUUUAAACUUUUCUGCGUUUUCCUAUUUUAAAGAAAUAUCUACCACUAAGUGCUAUUUAACAAAUGUUUAAAAAUAUUUUUAAAAAAUAUACGUUAACAUAGCAGGGGUAAGAGAGCCCAUCAUGAGUCUGAACUGGAAGCAGGCCUAUUUGGACACAUCUGACCACUGGGACACAUCUGACCACUCGUGUGAUGGGAGCAGAGGUCCCUUUGCAAGAAGGGGCUCUUCAGGAUGGCGGAGGCUGUGUGGGCACUGCUGAAUCCCCAGCGCCCAGAGCAGUGCCUGGUGCGCAGGCACUCAAAGUACAUUUCUAAAAUGCACUCGUGAGUGAAUGAGAGGGGAGGAAUUCCCUCAGGUUGAGCCUGAUCCAAUCAGGAGCUUGGUUAUCAGGAAGGAGCCAGACCUGGCAUCUCUCAGCUUUGUCUCUCAGCCCAGCCGUUAAUGUCCAAGUUCUGGCAGAACGGGAUGUAGUAAGUAAAUUCAAGGGAGCUGUCCUUUUAAAGGCAAGCACCUUACUUUAUAAUCACACCAAGAAAAUCCAUCACAGAAAGUAGGAAAACUCUAUUCACUCCCUUGCUUGUUUGAAGACCACCCACGGUCUUGGACCAGAGGGACUCCCUGUGAAAGGAGGCCCAGCCAGUCCUAGUGGAGCCGAGGUGCUUGGUGAAGCAGUGGCAUCAGCUGGCAGCGGGAACUCGGUUCUGAGCAGCUUAGCUCUCACUCCGUGGAGGACAGUUAUGAAGAUUCAGCAAAGCAGUAAGAUGCUCUGUGACAAGUUCCUAUUUGGGGAGAGGAUGGUGGCCAUUUCUAUCUGUGUGGUUUUUCCUGCCUUGCCAAAUCUAAAAGCUCAUUUUCUAAAAAUUAAUUAAUUAAUGUAUUUAUUUUGGCUGUGUUGGGUCUUCGUUUCUGUGCGAGGGCUUUCUCUAGUUGCGGCAAGCGGGGGUCACUCUUCAUCACGGUGCGUGGGCCUCUCCCUAUCGCGGCCUCUCUUGUUGCGGAGCACAGGCUCCAGACGUGCGGGCUCAGUAGUUGUGGCUCACGGCCCCAGCUGCUCCGCGGCAUGUGGGAUCCUCCCAGACCAGGGCUCGAACCCGUGUCCCCUGCAUCGGCAGGCAGACUCUCAACCACUGCGCCACCAGGGAAGCCCCUAGAAGCUCAUUUUUGGGAGUCCGAAGACAACAGCAUAUAUGGGAAGUGAGAUUUUCCACUUCAAUCAUCUCUGAUUAUUAGGUUUGUGGCUUGAUCCUUCCUUGCUCUUACCUCCAAAUAACAUUCUGGGGCCUAUAUCAGUGCUUUUAGCAUUUUUGCCAAGCCUCAGCGUCUCCGGGACUGAGAGCCUACUUUCAGGUUCAGGCGACUGUUUUUUCCCUCUCCUUGGCAAUGCAUCUUGUAUGAAGUGCCUCAAAAUACCCUUGCUCAACAGCCAGAGUCUGAAGGAGGCAGAUGUUCCCAGAACAGUGGGUUUCUGGAUAAAGAAUGUCCACUUGAGGUAAAGGCACAAAUAUUUUCUACCUCAUUUUAAUCUCUAGGCUAUUAAGAGGAGCAUUGUACAGGGGAGGGGUCUUCUGUAUCAUCUUCUCUGAAAAUAGGAUCAGGAGGCUGGUGAGUGCCCCUCAGAAGUCAAAGGGGACUGGACAUGCCCAGCUGGCCUUCCACAUACUUUCUUUGAACCUGGUGAUGGUUAAUUUUAUGUCAGGGUGGUUCAAGUAUGGUGCCAGUCUUCUGGUCAAAUGCUAGUCUAGAUGUUGCUGUGACGGACGGUAUUUUGUAGAUGUGAUUAACAUUUACAGUCGGUUGACUUUUAAAAAAGCAGAGUACCCUCCAUAAUGUGGGUGGUUCUCAUUCUAUCCAUUAAAAGGCUUAAGAGCAAAAAAGAGAAAACUGAGGUUUCCCAGAAAAGACAUUCUGCCUCAAGACUGUAUCAUAGAAAUUCAGCCUGGGUUUCCUGCCGGCUGGCCUACUUUAUGGAUUUCAAACUGGCCAGCCUCCAUCAUUACAUGAGUCAACUCCUUAAAAUAAAUCUCUUUCUCUCUCCUUUCUUCCUUCCUUCCCUCCCUCCCUCCCUCCCACCCCCCCCACCCCUUCUCCAUAUCCAUAUAUCCUGAUGGUUCUGAUUCUGAUACUGACAAAGGAUUCUGACUGAUACUGACAAAGACUCCCCCCUUGAUCCGCUUGACUAGGUCUCAUCCUUGACCUGCUGAGCCUAAUUUUACCAAAUAAUCCUGCUAAGCCAGUUUAUGAAGAAUCUCUCCCAACCACCCUUUGAUUUCCAAUCAAACUCUUCUUCCUCCACCUUUUAUCAAGGGCUAAUGCAGUUCUUCUUCCUCCCAACUCUUGAUACCUAACCAAGUUCCUCCUAUCCUCUCCUUCUCUGUGUGUAUUCAGAGUUGAGUUUGGUCUCUCUUCUGUUGCAAUAGUCUUGAAUAAACUCUGUCUUGCCAUUUUUAACAAGCAUCCACUGAAUCAUCUCUUUUUAACAAUACGGACCCUAAGCCUAAAACCAGUUAUUAUAAGAAUUUUAUAAUAUUACAGGGUCAAACUCAGUUUCUCAUGUGGCUGCUAUUUCCCCUGUUCCUAUAGCAAGCGGAAAUACUGAAAUCAAGAACAACCCAUGGGCUUCCCUGGGUUACAGCAAGCAGGUGGAGGGGAGAGACUGUGUUUUAGUGCAUCCACUAAGGGGUGUGGCUCAGAAUGGAAGGUGGUAGCUUUAAUGGAUGGGAAAACUUCUGAAUCACUUUGCCUAAGUGGGUAAACCAGACAGCUGGCUGCCAUCUGUUGUGAAGUAGGGCCCAGGAACCGAAGAGCAAGACUGUUUAAUUAUAAGCAGCUUGUCUUGUGUAUAGGAUGUCCUUUGUGAGUUUAUCUGCAACAUCCACAGGGACCUCAGCGAUAUGAUAUUUUGGGGAAGAUUGGGAAGCCGGUUAGGUCAUCAUAGGAUGGGAGAACCUCUCUACAAAGCAGCUGGUGAUCCACAGGUGCAUGGCAUGUGCUCAUCUGGGUGAUGGGGUCACAGUGACAGCUGCCACAUUAAACACAGUGCCAUUAUUCUUCUGACAGGCGGCACUCACAGAGGACUGAGCUCAGCUGUCGUCUUAGGGCGUGGGAGCCUCUUCCCCCCAACCUCUGGGCAGGGGACCACAAGAUCCAUGUGGACAUACAGCCCCAGACCAGUGUCCAGCAGAGAAAACCAGUCAGAAGUCAGGUCAGAUGGACAAGGACAGGAGAAGGGGUGGCCUGGGAUUCAGUGGGCACCUGACAAGAGGCUCAACUGUGGUGCAGCUGGUGGGUUGAGGCCAUGACGUCCUCCUGUCCUGGUUGGGAAUGAUUCAGGAGAUGGGUGGGGCUGCUUCUGUAGAGGAAUGUGUGCAGAGGAAUGACAGUCCAACAGGGAGGGCCUGGGAGGGAAGUGAGGCCAAGCCCAUCUUGUAUUUCCUGCUCUGCUUCAAGGAAUAUGGAGACACGCUAAGGACCUUCUUCCUUUUAUUGUUGAAACUCUGCCUUUUCCUUCAGUGACCUGCAUCACUGCAGAGUAAUGAUGUUAAUAAAAAUAGGUAAAGUUGAUUGAAUACUUUCCAGAGGUCAAGCGUAUGACAUACAUAAUUGCAUAAAAUUAACUCUAUUAUCCCCAUUUAACAGAUGGGAAAACUGAGGCUUAUGGGGUUAAAUAAAUGCACCCCAAAUUACACAGCUAGUGGAAACAAUGUGAAUGCAGACAGCCUGAGGUGACAUUAACCACCAUGCUAUUACCUUACCAUAAAAGGUUUACCCCAUAGUGUGGUGUUUGUUGAACUGACCACAUCUCAGGCAUGGCUUCAAGAUGGGGUCCUGGUCUUAGUGUGUGAAGCCUCUUCUGUUCCCUGGGACCUAACCACACACCAGCAAAUCCCUUGGUUGCUGUCAAGCAUUGGCCUUCUAUGGCUUAAGUCACUGUCCCAGGGCAUUGCCAGCCCAUGUUUUCAGGAAUGACCUCACUUUCUCCCAUUGAGUAGGAGUGAAGCUAUUUGCAGAAUCUUUCCAGCACCUAGAGGAGCUCCCCUGAAAGCUGAAGAAGGGGUGUAGAGGGAUCAGUAUCCCCUGACUUCAAGCAGAGCACUUCGAUAAUAAAUAAUCCAUAUUAUUUAUUACCUAAUACAAAUGCUAUUUAGUUCUUCUUAGGUCAAGAGUCCACUGUGUUGUUGACUUUUUGGAAAUAGCAGUAUCCAGAGUGUAAGGAGCUGGAGCUUUGGAUGGAGAGAGACCUGGAAUGAAAUUCUUUCCCCACUGCUGAUUAGCUAGGUGACCUUCUGCCAGUUACUCCAGUUCUCAGUGUCCUGGGUCGUUCAUCAUUAGGGAAACGCCGACACAUUUGCUGACAUAUAGUGUUGUGAGAACCAAAUAAAAUAAUUUUUAUAAAGUACCUAGGCCAGUGAUAAACACAGAGUACACAUUCUACCAGUAUCCACUCUUUUCUUCCUCCCCUUUAAAAAGGUUAUGUGGGUCCAAAGGCAGCUCACAUCAGGCCAGAAGGCCUCAGCUGAUUCACGUUUUGUUUCAUUUUCUUUUAAGAGACUUUUUAUUCCUAGGGGUCCUCAGCUCUGCUAGCCUGUGUUCCCUGCCAUUUCCACAAUAUCCUGUUGUUCACACAUCAGCCCUAUUCACUGUAGGAGACAACUACAAAAGGGCAUGAAGGCCAGGAGGUGAGCAUCAUUUGAGGAUCUCAAAGCUGCCUCCCAACAUUUGCAUAGAGAAACUGUAAUUUGUUCAUCUGUCAGGGCUGAUAGCAAAUCAUUGCUUCCUAAAUCCCAUGGCCACCUGCCUGAUAUCUGUAGCAGACAGUUUUUUUCUAAGUAAUAAAGAAGGCGGGUGGGAGGUGGCUAUUGGGUGAGCAAACAAAUAACAGUGUCUGCCACAACAUUAUACACUGGUCAGACAAGAAACCCUUCUUGUGCCCACCGUACAAUUGGCCUCUACAUGUUUUCUCGCAGCUUAUUAACCAGAAUAAAUUGCUCUUGUGUCUUUCAGGCCUGGUUUGCACAAGCCAACUUUGUGUCUCUCUGAUUGAAUAGACAGCCUUUUCAUGGGGUGGGGCUGGAUUUCUGGGCAGAGAGUAAGGGGAAAAAAAUGAGGCUGAUGUGCAAUGCAGAGUUUUUUCAUCCCUGAGGAGACAGGGGUAAAUAAUGUUCUUACCACAUUUGGCCUGAUCACAGGUGCAUAAUCCCGAAGCUGUUGCUUGCUGGGUUAAUAAGCAGGUUGAACAAGAAUGUUCCGUGACUACUCCCAAGGCAGUUAUCUUUGGAAGAAUUUGAAAUAUUUUCAUAGCAGUGUGCAAUAAAGCCAAGAGGGGUGAAAGUAGUUUCUAUAACAAAGUAUUUAUGAUUAUUAACAUUUGAUUCCUUGAUAAUAUAAAGGGCACACAUGAAUUCUGAGGUAGGAAGAUGCUGUCAUCACAGACUGCUUUUACUGAGAACUUUAAAAUGAAGAGUUCCAAACAACAAAUAGUUAAUAAAUCUUCACCUUGUACAAAGAUGUGAAUGAAGUAGAUGCCACAGAUUGCCUUCUUUAUUCUCCCCAACCUCCAAAUGGAAGACUUAAAUCCAAGGAUUCUCAAAUAGAAAGUGUAUUUUCCUUCUAAUGGAGAUUACUGGGUCUGGGACAAAAUGCUUUGAAUGUAGCUUUCUUUAUUAAUCAGAUCAUUUGUCCUGUUCACCUACAAUGAGGGUACUGUGUAGAAAAUCACACCACGCACGAGGCUUGCCAGACUGAAUAGAACCAUUUGUGGUGGGAUCAGUAGACAGGCAGAUUAAAGAACUGCUUUAGACAGUAGUAUCUGGACUUCAGCAAGACACAGGAUGAAUGAAUACCUUCUAAGUACCAUGAAGACAGUAGUGAGGGAUGGGGGCUGGAUGGCAAUAUCAUAGAGAGAGUAAUAAUUGGUUGUUUUAAAAGGGUCCCAAAUAACAAUCUCUAUUGAACUGAAGUGAGGUUUCCUUUCUUCCUCAUAGAAACUAUUAAAUGUGUUCUUGUCAAAGUACCUCUUAGAGGCAUUUUGACAAGAGGGUCUUUUGCACAGCUAAAGUUUUUAAUUUUUUAAAUUAAUUUUUAUUGGAGUACAGUUGCUUUCAAAAGUUUUUAAUUUUGAUGAAGUCUAAUUUACCAGAUUUACCUGUUAUGAAUCGUCCUUUUGGUGUCAGGUCUAAAAACACUUUGGCUGGCUCUAUACCCUGUGAAGUUUUUCCCUAAAUUAUUUUCCUAAAUGUUUUAUAGUUUUGCAUUUUAUAUUUAUGCCCCUGAUCCAUGUUGAGUUAGUUUUUGCCUAAAGUGUGAGACUUAGGUCAAGUUAAUUUUUGUUCAUUUAUUUGUUUGUUUGUUUGUUUAUGCCUAUGGACUUGCAUUGCACAAUUUGUUGAAAAGCUUACCCUUCCUCCAUUGAGUUGCUUCUGCACCUUCCUCAAAAAUUAGUUGGGCCUAUUAGGGUGGGUCUUUUUCUGGGUUAUCCACUCUCUCCCACUGAUCUAUGUGACUAUAUUCCUGCCAAUAUACUACAUAGUCUUGGUUAUGUAGCUUCAUAAUAAGUAUUGGAAUCGAGUAGAUGGAUUCCUCCCAGUUUAUUCUUCCUUUUCAUAAAUUUCAGGAUAUUUAAGUUUCUUUGCCUUUCUAUACAAAAUUUUUUAAAAUUUAUAUCUACAAAAAUUGUUGCUAGGAUUUUAAUAGGAGUUGCGUUAUACUUUUACAUCAAUUUGGAGAGAAUUACCAUCUUUGCUGUGUUGAGUCUUCCAAUUCACAAACACGAUGUGUCUCUCCAUUUAUUUAGGCCUUUGAUUUCUUUCAUCAGCAUUGCAUAGUUUUCAGCGCACAAGUUCUAUAUAUGUCUUCCUAGAUUUACACCUAAGUAUUUCAUUGUCUUUGAGCAAUUGUGAAUGGUAUUGUAUUUUUUUUUUCUUUCUUUCUUUUUUUUUUUUUUGUGGUAUGCGGGCCUCUCACUGUUGUGGCCUCUCCCGUUGCGGAGCACAGGCUCCGGAUGCGCAGGCUCAGCGGCCAUGGCUCACGGACCCAGCUGCUCCGCAGCAUGUGGGAUCUUCGAGGACCGGGGCAUGAACCCGUGUCCCCUGCAUCGGCAGGCGGACUCUCAACCACUGCGCCACCAGGGAAGCCCGAUGGGACCUUCCUGUGGACCACAGCCUGAGAGACAGCCUCUCAGAUAGCUCUCAAGAACUGCUCCAAAGAGGCUGUGAACUCCUAGAGUGAAAGGAUUAUGUCUUAUUCACCGCCUAUCUUCACCUCCAGAGCCAAGUGAGGUGCUUGGUAAAUAGCGGGCUGCUAUUGAAGGAAUGAGUGACUGAACUCCGAAGAAGUAACCACCGAGGACAAGUUAUUGUGCUAUCUUUCAAUGCUCUGGCUUUAUUUCUAAAUCCUAGAGAAUCUUAGAAAAACUAUUCUUCCAUUGGUAUCUACAUAAUUGUGAGGGUUUCUAUCCCCGUUGUGUCACUUAUUAAUAGUGUCCUAAGGCAGUUUUUAUAAUCAUUUAGAGCCUCAGUUUUCACAUAUAUGCAAUGUGGGAAAUAGUACUUAGUAUCAUAAUACUGUGAUCCUAGUAUGGUUCAGAGGAUUAGGUGGGUUGACACAAAGCAAUGUGUCAGGCAUUGUUGCUCAUAAUUACGAGUGUUUAUUCUUCCUGCCUUUCCUAGCUCCAGGGAGCCCUUUAAUCACUUCCUGUUUAAAUUAAGCAAGGGUUUGGCAAAUGCACCUGCCAACAGCAACAGAUGGAUAAUAGUGUCUUUAGCUCUCUGAUGCCUGAGCUUCCACAAAGGUCUUCUUUGAAACCCAGGCAGGCAGAACAACCAAGAUGCUCCAUCCAUGGGGCUCGUGCCCUGACAGAGCUAUGAACAGAGGGCACCUGCUGCCUUGUGGGGCUGCCAGGUGUGAAGACAGGGACUCUGAGACAGCUUUCCUGGGGCACUGGAGGCUUUAAAGCUGGGGGCAGGUAGGAAACCCCAGGACUUACCUAGAAAAGCAAGCAACCCACAGACUCCUAGAAAGCAAAGCAGAGAGGUCAUCAGACCUUCCAGGAUGAUGGUUCUUGGAGAAGAGGACUGGGGACAAGUUAUGCUGGGACCCCUCUAAUUCAUUUACAUCCUGGUGUGGCUUUUCUGAAACAAACAAACAAAAACUUCCAUUUUUUUUAAACUUUGAAAACAACUGAUAUAAUCCAAACCCCUUAUUAGAUGAAAAUACAGACCAGAAAAUUUUAGUGACCCACCCAAAGUCAGACAGGAAGGGAGCAGCAAAGCUGGAACUCCAAGGUGGUUGUUGUUUUGACUGGGAGCCCAGGGUUUCUUUUCACCUUACCUGCUGCCACCCUGUUAAGUCACCUCCCAAAGCACCUGAAAAAACAUUCGAGCACGUGCUGUCUUGAAUCAUGUACGUAUUUUCCAAGAAUAGUUUAUCUGGCCAUAGGUAUUUCGAUCUGCAGGGUUUGGAGGCUUAAUUUAGAAUCAAGGGGAAGGGGUUCAAAUGCAGGCUCUGGUGUCAUCAGUUAACCUGUGUGAAUCUCAGUUUUUCAUCAAAAAAUGAGACUCCAAAUCCCCUUCCUGCUUUCCUCUUUCGUUUGUUCUAAGGAUCACAGAAAUAAAAGACUUGAAAAAUGUUUUUAAUUCUAGUUUUUCCCAAUCCACAUGUUCACUAAGGUCCUCCAUUUAUUCCCGUAGUAGCAGAAUACUGAUGCUCAUGGCUUUAUUUAUUUCGGAGAAUCACAGGCCCUAAACUUCUCAACA